rnacentral:rRNA from 1 species
GACGUAGGGCGCGAGCGUUGUCCGGAUUUAUUGGGCGUAAAGCGCUCGCAGGUGGUUCGAUGCGUCGUGCGUGAAAGCCCCCGGCUCAACUGGGGAGUGUCGUGCGAUACGGUCGAACUGGAGGCCAGUAGGGGGAUGCGGAAUUCCGGGUGUAGUGGUGGAAUGCGUAGAGAUCCGGAGGAACACCAGCGGCGAAGGCGGCAUCCUGGACUGGUCCUGACACUCAUGAGCGAAAGCGUGGGGAGCGAGUCCGG